rnacentral:lncRNA from 1 species
UCAGGGCAUCCACUUGUGAAGAUAGGGUUUCCACGAUGAUUUUGGUUCUCUUCUUACUUUCUAAAAUUAUCUUUUUCUCGAUUUGAUUCUUUGCUUCCAAGUUGUAACGGGAUCCUCUUUCAAAUUUGAAAGCAUACCAGGUUAUCAAUAUUUGUGGUUGUUGGAGCCUAAGCCUUGGCCGAGACUUAUUUGUGUGUAACCUGAUACUUCUUGCUACUGUCAGGGUGUUAGCUUUGCUGAAGGGUUAUCUACGCAUGGACCAUUGUUUUCGACUGCCACAAGAAUGCAAGCCUUGCCCAAGACUUUUGAACUGAGUCCUGUUGCCCUUACCAAGGUAGAAGCCUUUCCCGAGGCUUAUACAAUAACUGAUGACAGCUUCUACAUAAAAUUUACUUAUGUUGGGAUGCUUUCUAGAUUUGAGUUUUAUCCCUUGAACUACAUCAAAAUAGACAAAACCACCUAUAUUAGGUAAUAAUAGCUCAAUUACACAUUUAAAAUAAGUGAUAU